rfam:Lobosporangium transversale strain NRRL 3116 BCR41scaffold_19, whole genome shotgun sequence.
GGUGGGAUGGCCGAGUUGGUCUAAGGCGCCGCACUCAAGUUGCGGUCUCGAGAGAGGCGUGGGUUCAAAUCCCACUUCCACCA